rnacentral:rRNA from 1 species
GAUGAACGCUAGCGGCAGGCUUAAUACAUGCAAGUCGAGGGGCAGCACGGUUAGCAAUAACUGGUGGCGACCGGCGCACGGGUGCGUAACACGUAUACAAUCUACCUUAAACAGGGGGAUAGCCUUUCGAAAGAGAGAUUAAUACCCCGUAAUAAAUUGAACGGCAUCGUUUGAUUUUGAAAGCUCCGGCGGUUUGAGAUGAGUAUGCGUCUGAUUAGCUAGUUGGUGAGGUAACGGCUCACCAAGGCGACGAUCAGUAGGGGAUCUGAGAGGACUAACCCCCACACUGGUACUGAGACACGGACCAGACUCCUACGGGAGGCAGCAGUAAGGAAUAUGGUCAAUGGAGGCAACUCUGAACCAGCCAUGCCGCGUGCAGGAUGACGGCCCUAUGGGUUGUAAACUGCUUUUAUACAAGAGAAAACCCUGGUACGUGUACCAGGUUGAUAGUAUUGUAAGAAUAAGCAUCGGCUAACUUCGUGCCAGCAGCCGCGGUAAU